rnacentral:tRNA from 1 species
AAGAUUUUAAGUUAAUUAAACUAUUAACCUUCAAAGUUGAAAUUAUUUUUUAAGUCUUA